rnacentral:misc_RNA from 1 species
AAUUGUCUUUCAAUUUCAAUGUGUAACAUGGAAAUUGGUGAAAUCCCUAGGCAGCUUACCAUAUGACCAGUUUGACAUAUCAGAAGAAGUACAAGAGCAGGUUGAAUUGGUCAGAUCACAGUUGACACGAGCUAAAGAGAGGUAUGGUGGACCUUUGGCUUCAUAUGUAUUAUCUCGAGCAUUAUCCCAACCAUUAGAUAAGGAGAUUGAUCCGCUUCAGUCGGGCAGUCGGGGAGUUGGAAGUUUACAUCUAGAAAAUGUUGGCAAUAUUGAUCAUGAAGUUUGGCCAAAACUUGGAGGUCUUCCCUUAGGUAACACCCCAAACGGCAAUGUUUGUGUUCAGAUAGUUCAGGAACCAGAAAAUCUAAGGAAUUCAUCCAAAAAUUCUGAGGUUACUUCUCCCAAAAGUCCUGGUUUGGCCAGGGAAGAUGACUCACCCAGCAAGAAACUUGUGGAGAGUAAGAAGCCCAAUUCUCCUAUAAUUCCUGAAGAGUAUCUUUGCCCUAUAUCCCUUGAGCUCAUGAGGGAUCCUGUAAUUGUGGCCACUGGACAGACUUACGAGAGAUCUUUCAUACAAAGAUGGAUAGACGGUGGCAACACAAGAUGCCCAAAAACUCAGCAAAUACUCCAAGAUCUUACGCUGACACCAAAUAUUGCUUUAAGAAGUCUCAUUUCUGAUUGGUGUGCAAAGAACAACGUAGAGCAGCCAACUGCAUUAGCAAAUGGGAGAAUAAAGCGAAGUGAUGG